rnacentral:rRNA from 1 species
GAUCAGCCAUGCCGCGUGUAUGAAGAAGGCCUUCGGGUUGUAAAGUACUUUCAGUUGUGAGGAAGGGGGUGUCGUUAAUAGCGGCAUCUCUUGACGUUAGCAACAGAAGAAGCACCGGCUAACUCCGUGCCAGCAGCCGCGGUAAUACGGAGGGUGCGAGCGUUAAUCGGAAUUACUGGGCGUAAAGCGCAUGCAGGUGGUUCAUUAAGUCAGAUGUGAAAGCCCGGGGCUCAACCUCGGAACUGCAUUUGAAACUGGUGAACUAGAGUACUGUAGAGGGGGGUAGAAUUUCAGGUGUAGCGGUGAAAUGCGUAGAGAUCUGAAGGAAUACCAGUGGCGAAGGCGGCCCCCUGGACAGAUACUGACACUCAGAUGCGAAAGCGUGGGGAGCAAACAGGAUUAGAUACCCUGGUAGUCCACGCCGUAAACGAUGUCUACUUGGAGGUUGUGGCCUUGAGCCGUGGCUUUCGGAGCUAACGCGUUAAGUAGACCGCCUGGGGAGUACGGUCGCAAGAUUAAAACUCAAAUGAAUUGACGGGGGCCCGCACAAGCGGUGGAGCAUGUGGUUUAAUUCGAUGCAACGCGAAGAACCUUACCUACUCUUGACAUCCAGAGAAGCCAGCGGAGACGCAGGUGUGCCUUCGGGAGCUCUGAGACAGGUGCUGCAUGGCUGUCGUCAGCUCGUGUUGUGAAAUGUUGGGUUAAGUCCCGCAACGAGCGCAACCCUUAUCCUUGUUUGCCAGCGAGUAAUGUCGGGAACUCCAGGGAGACUGCCGGUGAUAAACCGGAGGAAGGUGGGGACGACGUCAAGUCAUCAUGGCCCUUACGAGUAGGGCUACACACGUGCUACAAUGGCGCAUACAGAGGGCAGCGAACUUGCGAGAGUGAGCGAAUCCCAAAAAGUGCGUCGUAGUCCGGAUUGGAGUCUGCAACUCGACUCCAUGAAGUCGGAAUCGCUAGUAAUCGUAGAUCAGAAUGCUACGGUGAAUACGUUCCCGGGCCUUGUACACACCGCCCGUCACACCAUGGGGAGUGGGCUGCAAAAGAAGUGGGUAGUUUAACCUUUCGGAGGAGGACGCUCACACUUUUGGGGUUCAGGACGGGGGUGAUG